rnacentral:rRNA from 1 species
AUGAACGCUGGCGGCGUGCCUAAUACAUGCCCGUCGAGCGAACAGACGAGGAGCUUGCUCCUCUGACGUUAGCGGCGGACGGGUGAGUAACACGUGGAUAACCUACCUAUAAGACUGGGAUAACUUCGGGAAACCGGAGCUAAUACCGGAUAAUAUAUUGAACCGCAUGGUUCAAUAGUGAAAGACGGUUUUACUGUCACUUAUAGAUGGAUCCGCGCCGCAUUAGCUAGUUGGUAAGGUAACGGCUUACCAAGGCAACGAUGCGUAGCCGACCUGAGAGGGUGAUCGGCCACACUGGAACUGAGACACGGUCCAGACUCCUACGGGAGGCAGCAGUAGGGAAUCUUCCGCAAUGGGCGAAAGCCUGACGGAGCAACGCCGCGUGAGUGAUGAAGGUCUUCGGAUCGUAAAACUCUGUUAUUAGGGAAGAACAAAUGUGUAAGUAACUAUGCACGUCUUGACGGUACCUAAUCAGAAAGCCACGGCUAACUACGUG